rnacentral:rRNA from 13 species
CCCGCCUGGGAAGUACGCUCGUAAGAGUGAAACUCAAAGGAAUUGCCGGGGGCCCGCACAAGCGGUGGAGCAUGUGGUUUAAUUCGAAGCAACGCGAAGAACCUUACCUGCGCUUGACAUCCCUAUCGCGGAUUAGAGAGAUCUUUUCCUUCAGCUCGGCUGGAUAGGUGACAGGUGCUGCAUGGCUGUCGUCAGCUCGUG